rnacentral:lncRNA from 1 species
UGCUCGAAAAGGUUUCUGGGACAAUCGAUUUGAGACCAAGCACAGCUCUGAUCUCCUCAUGAGAAUUCAGGCAUUUUUGCAAAGGAGAACCCAUGUGUGACUAAUCUACCACAACUCAAAGUUAGAGAUGCAGAAGAGGUGACAGAAGAGGUCGUGGUAACCACAUUACGCAGGGCCAUUAAUUUUUAUUCAACAAUCCAGGCACAUGAUGGUCAUUGGCCU